CUGUGUCUCAAUUCAGGGUCUGCAUCCUACCUCGGCCGGAUUCGUCGGCCGGUUACGUCACAGCGCCGCGACUCGGCCUGUCCCAAUUCGAAGACUCCUUCAAAUGCGGUCGACGAAUGCGGCCUUCUUUUCGCCUGAAUGAAGGAUGGGUCGGGUGUAUCCUUCAAUAGGUAGCAUUUCCCAAGAUGCCUUGCGGGCCGGCCGGCAGAAAAACUUAAAAACAAUGGCGGACAGUGAAGCGGGAGCUGUCGGAGAGGAUUGCGCAUAUAAAUGUAAGUAUAAACUUGAAAACUGUCAGUUUAAGGACUUUUUGUGAUACAUGAACGUUAUUUUAGUUAGAAAUGUUACAGUAAAAGUGCUUGUAUUGCGGUCUCGGCUCGUAUGUUCGGCCGCGCUCGGUGUCGUACUUCUCCCACUACGUUUCCCCCUGAUUUUAAUAGAAGUUUGUAUUUUAGGACCAAAAGAGAAAACCAGGGAAUUUAUUAAGCUUAGGGCGGAGAUGGACCACAUGAUCACCGGAGCAAAGUAUUCGGCGGCUGUGGCAUGGAGACUAUUCUGGAGAAAAUGGGCAUCCAGGGGAAGGUGCCAGCGAUGAGCUUCUGGAGCUGAUCUGGGAGGACAUGAGGCUGCAGAGCAGCAGAGAGCACAGGAGAGAAGGAAGAACUUUGACAGCUUUUUACUUUGCUAGAAAAAAAUGGUUAAGGAAGAUUAAACAUGUACAUAUAAAAGAAAUAUCUAAAUAAAAUCAGUUCUGCAUUAAA